rnacentral:rRNA from 1 species
UGAACGCUGGCGGCGUGCCUACUACAUGCAAGUCGAGCGAACGGACGAGAAGCUUGCUUCUCUGAUGUUAGCGGCGGACGGGUGAGUAACACGUGGAUAACCUACCUAUAAGACUGGGAUAACUUCGGGAAACCGGAGCUAAUACCGGAUGAUAUUUUGAACCGCAUGGUUCAAAAGUGAAAGACGGUCUUGCUGUCACUUAUAGAUGGAUCCGCGCUGCAUUAGCUAGUUGGUAAGGUAACGGCUUACCAAGGCAACGAUGCAUAGCCGACCUGAGAGGGUGAUCGGCCACACUGGAACUGAGACACGGUCCAGACUCCUACGGGAGGCAGCAGUAGGGAAUCUUCCGCAAUGGGCGAAAGCCUGACGGAGCAACGCCGCGUGAGUGAUGAAGGUCUUCGGAUCGUAAAACUCUGUUAUUAGGGAAGAACAUAUGUGUAAGUAACUGUGAACAUCUUGACGGUACCUAAUCAGAAAGCCACGGCUAACUACGUG